UACGUAGGGUGCAGGCGUUAAUCGGAAUUACUGGGCGUAAAGCGUGCGCAGGCGGUCUGUUAAGACAGGUGUGAAAUCCCCGAGCUCAACUUGGGAAUUGCGCUUGUAACUGGCAGGCUAGAGUGUGGCAGAGGGGGGUGGAAUUCCAGGUGUAGCAGUGAAAUGCGUAGAUAUCUGGAGGAACACCGAUGGCGAAGGCAGCCCCCUGGGUUAACACUGACGCUCAGGCACGAAAGCGUGGGGAGCAAAC
rnacentral:rRNA from 1 species